UACGUAGGCAGCAAGCGUUGUUCGGAAUUACUGGGCGUAAAGAGUGUGUAGGUAGUGUCGUAAGUUUGGUGUGAAAUCUCCCGGCUUAACUGGGAGGGUGCGCCGAAGACUGCGAUGCUGGAGUAUGGGAGAGGAAAGCGGAAUUCCUGGUGUAGCGGUGAAAUGCGUAGAUAUCAGGAGGAACACCUGCGGUGUAGACGGCUUUCUGGACCAUUACUGACACUGAGACACGAAAGCGUGGGUAGCAAACAGG
rnacentral:rRNA from 1 species